GAUGGCCACAGCAAUAAUCCUUACUCCAUUAUCGACUCAAAGAGUGAUCUCACCUUCCCUCAGCCCUCUCAUUUCUUCAAGACCCUGCAUAGAAGUGCACAAAUGAGCACUUGAUCCAAAAUGUAGAACCCAACUAGAAGAAGAGGAAACUAUUAGAUUAGUUACAAUAAUGAGUAUAUCAGAUGUACCUUCAGAAGGCCC
rnacentral:lncRNA from 1 species